GUUAAUGCAUCUGGACAUUUUUGCUUCCCUUUGCUUUUCUAUCAGUGGUUGUUAGUGCUUCUACUUUCUCACUUAAGUUAUGCUACAACUGGUUUUCAGUCUUAGACUCGAGAGAUAUUUCUGUGUUUUGUGUAUAUGAAUACACUUUGAAGAAACAUAUAUAUGUGUAUAUAUAUGUUAUAUACAUGCUAUAACUGGGAGUUGCUGCUUUUGACAUGCGUAGCUAUUGGAUAGGAUCGUUCGAGUUGGAAGGGACCCUUAAGGACCAUCUAAUCCUACUCUCUGGCUCUGAACAGGACACCUGCUGUUGAUCAGGUUGCUCAGAGCAUGAUCCAUCCUGAUUUUGAAUGUUUCUAAGGACAUAUCUCCAAUAGUAGAAAACAACUUGGCAGCUUUCUAUUGCAGAAUGGAAAGUUCACGCACAAUUGUAGGGGCUCCAUGUAUUUCUGAGCUGUGUCAUACCACUGUAUUGCCCCUGAAGCACCCUAUGUGAGGGUGCUAAUCUAGGUAGGUUAUGUCAGCUGUGGGAAUUCAGUCCCAGAAACAAACCUUUGCAUCUCUUGGAACAGCUGGAGAGGCUCAGGUCCACUCAUCCAGCUCAGAGUGGACACGAGGAAUUUGGAUUAAAUGCAGAUGGAGUGGGGAUUUUGUCAGUGACAGAAGGGGAGGAAAACACUGAGCUACGACUGUCUGAAUGCAAAUAUAUGGCAUCUGUGUACCUAUUCUGACUUGAAAGUACGAAAAUCAUAAAUAUGCUAUAAUGCAAGAGGCAAAGCAUAUGCGAAGGUAACGAUAUCCCAUUACUUCCCCUACAGAAAAGAAUUUUCAUAACUCAUUCAUACUCAGUUGAAUAAAUGCUAAGAUUCACUGCUGGCUGUUAAUUAUCCUUCACAAAGACCUGGUUAUUGUGUUCAACCUCAGUAAAGGCACAGUUGUUAUUGUAGCGUACAUAGAGAGAAUGGUACCUAAGGGAGAGAGGAGGAAACAGGCUCGUGCAGGAUUUUAACAAGGAGCGCUGUGUUGCACAGAAGGGAAUUUGUAGGGUGGGGUUUUGAUAUAAUGCGCUUCAGGAAAUGAAGCUUUUUGAAAAGACAAAAACCUUGCUGCGACUCUCUGCAUUCAUAUCACUCAGAAUUUGAAAGACACCAGACACUUUAAAAUUACUGUUAUUAAAAGGAAUUUCGAUGAUGAUUUUGUAUGAAGAGGUAGAAGGCAGGAAUUGGUCUGUCCAUAAUCAUACCAAGGCAGGUGCAUGCAGGAGCUCACGAGGCCCAUCUCCAUGGGGUUUUUCAGGUGCACUGGAGGCCUCCAUCCAAAGACUGCAGGCUGCUUCCACAUCGGCAGGGCAAGGCGUGGGGGACUUAUGGGAGCUUUUCCUGCAGUUCGCAGCGCAACAGCACUGUGGAAGAGCGCCAGCUGGAACUGCCAUCUGAGCUGGGUGCCGUGCUGAGCCACCAGGACUCGUUGGACUUCAGAAACAGAAGGACUGGGAACAAAGAUCACGUUUGUCAGCCUUAUAGUGAAAGGAUACUAAACUGAGUAUACAAAACUUGCAAGAUGGGAGUGAUCAGCUGGCCAGCGUCGAAGGGAUGGAUUUGUAUUCGUGUCUCAGCAGUGCAAGCAUAAUGGGCUGUUAUGAUACACUUCCUAUGCACGAAUGUGUGGAAUGGCCCAACGUGGGGUGCCUGGGCCCGGCGGUGGCUCUGCGGUGGGCUUUGCAUCUCCCCUUCAGAUGCUGAAGCACCCAAGGGCACGCUGAGCUGCUGUGGGAUUUGGAGCCGCUGGAGGACCCACAGCGAUGCCUUCCACUGUUUGGCUUCUGCAGAGCUACAGUUUUCCUUUGGCAUCCAAGAGAGAAGAGAUGUCAGACAGUUGAUACCAGAGCUGCCACCUGACUCGUCGCUGAAUGCCAAAGCACGCCUCUGUGUUCUACUUAACACUGGUGAAUCUAUAUUUAUUUCCAAUCCAACCUUGUGACAGGCUACGGAGAAGGAUCCUUAGAGACCGUAUUACUGAUUCUGCAAGUCAUGGUUAUAGGUUUUUUUUCCCCUGAACAGUUAUCUGAAGGAUCCUAUGUUUUGCUUUUUCCCAAUUAUUUCUGUAAUUUAACUAUAUCUGCUUCAGUGAUCCUGAAGGAUAGGACUUACGCUUAAAGAGGAUACUGAUGGGGUCCAACUGUAUUAUGUUUUAGGAAGCUUUAAAAAUAGGUGUUUCUGAUUUAAGUGAGGUGAAAUGAAAGAGUUCUCUCUCUACAGUGACAUUACCUGCUAAGUGACAACUUAUCAGCUUUGUGUGCCUAUCUGAUUUUUCUCAUUGUCUUUCUUCAAGUAGGGAAGAGAUCAGAUGAAUGUUUCCUCUUUGAAAGUAACAGAUUUUGUUAAUUAAAAAUGUUCUUAGGUGAAAUAAGUUGCCAACGGAAUAAAAAACACACACAUUUUACAGAGUAGAUGUAACUACCAUACUCUUUAUUUAAAAGUACACACAAAUAAAAACAAGACAAUACAAUUAAUGGGGGAAAAAACAUACGUAGCGCACUGAAGUUCUUUAGUUGCACAGUUUAACGCUAUAGAAAUUACAACCAGCAGAAUUAGUUUUCACUAACGUUACAGAUAGUUCCUGUUUACUGGGUCAAAUACUAAAAGAUCCUCAUGGACUUUGGCAAUUGGCACAAAGUACAAAAAUAAUGUCACUUAGGAAGCUACAGCUGUAAUGAAUGAGGAAUAAUUUCUGACUAAAAUGCAACAUGACUCUUUUCAUCCUAAUUGCUUAAAAAAUUGUAAAUAAAAUGACUAGGCAAUAAAAAAUGUUUAUGAUGACUGUUCUCACACACAGGCAUGUGCAGAGCUUGGACAGAUCUCCUGUUGGCCUCAUUCUUUGAAGAUCUGUCACCAGUGUUUGAGAAGAGUCAUGGCCUUUAGAUGUGUGCAUGGACUGGGUGAUUAGACUACUUAUUCAUAGGUUCUUCCCCUUCUGCAGCUAGGCUGCAUGCCUCACAUCUUUGGGCAACUGCAGAAAGAAGCUGGAGCUGGUGUGUUACUGCUGUCAGCUGUACCGUCCACUAGUUUGAGAGGCCUUUCCUUAUCCUAUGAACAACUUCCACUGGAUGCAAGUGCUUCAAUGGAAUCAAAUGUCUCCCCUGUGAACAGCUGGAUCCAGGUACUGGAGAUUUCUCUUUGACCUUUCUUAAAUGGAGUUGCUUAAUUGAGACAUCCAGGCAGAAACCAAUACUUUUAGAGUUGCCUUCACCAUUUAAAAUAGGAAAACUGCUAAAAUCCAAUUUUACCUUAAUAAAUAUUAUUUGCCUUUUAUAAUGUUACAGUUGUAUAUUACUGCAUUUGUACAGCAGACUAACACAGCCUUUGAUAUCCAUGGCAGACCUACAGAAUAGUAGACUUUUCAGAUGCUCUUGAGUGCUAUUUGCACUUCUCUGGGUGCUAGAAAUCCUGGCCUCUUGACAGACACUUCAACACAGCAAGUUCCUGCAUGGUCUGGCAACCUCGACACCCCAAACAAAUCUACAUUUUCCUGCUGAAGAUAGUCCUACCCCUCCUCAUUUGCUUCCACCCCUGAAGCCCUGUCCAGUCCUGCACCAUUUGACACAAUUUAGCUUGCAGUGCGGAGGAGUAUUUUUGCAGAGUUGGUUUCCUAGCAUAUGUGUAAGUCAAGCUCAUUGAGAUGUCAGGUUAGCUCAGCUUCUGGUCAGACCACACCUACUGCUCGAGCCUGCUCCCACCUUGCAAAAUUUGUACUCUGGUAGCCAUUCAUCACAGGAUAGGGAGGUGCUUUCUGGGGGAUGGUGAUACAACCCCAGCCAACACCUUCCUCUAACCAUUGCUGCUUCCUUGACAAUUUCACACUAGGCAAGGAAUAAUUUCUCUGUUCAUGUUCAACAGGAUGAACUCAAGUCAGGCAACUACCUCCAACUACCUUGUGCUGACAAAUGAAACCUCUCAAGUCAACCUGCCAGUUUGUCCUGCAGUCCUGUCAAAAGAUUCUAUUCCUAAGCAAACGGGUCUAUAUGCGAUGCAGAAAUUGAGUGCAAUCCCUAUGAAUAGCAGCUGAAUCUCUUUUCAUGUUUGCUAAGGUUUAAACUGAAGAUGAAGGCCAACAUUCAGGAUGAGGUUGGAUUUGAGUAAAUGUGGUCUGAUUCAAAACCUUGACAUUAUUUUGUUUUUCUUUGGUACCACACAAAUAUUUUGUUUAAAAACCAGAACCAUAUGGCUCUCCAGAUUUUACUGAAGUUGUUCCACUACUUGACUGUAUUGCCUCAAAUUCAGAAGACACCUCCCUGAACUGUUUUUUGUGUCCUAGUUACUUCUUCAGGCCUGUGAUUUACAGGUAUUCUGCUUGUUGCCCUUUUAGUUUUAAGGUAACUUGUUGAACUGAUUCCCUACCAGUCCUUCAAUUUAAAUCCCAGCCUUUUAAAACAACUGAGUUCCAGUUUUUACAGAAUACAGUACAGAAUACACCGCACCAGCGUGCAUUCCUGCCUAUCUUGUCCAGUUGCAUUCUAGACUUCUGUAUGACAAAAAAACCACUUUAUGGAGGAACAGUGUAACACACAUGUGAACACUGAGCUGGACCACAUACCAACAAUCCUUCAGUAAUACCUUCCUUUAAAGACAGGGUCACUGGCAGAAGGGCCUAUUGAAACCAGAAAUAAUAUAUUGUAACUCAGAAGUUUCAAAGGAGUGUACAAACAGAAAAGACAUUUCCAUGUACUGCUGGCACUGCACCUGACAGAAGAUGAGUUAACUGGUGCACUUCCUUCAGAAUUUGUGCAACUCUAAGAUGUAAAGCAACAAGAUGCAGUUACAGUGCUCAAAUAAAGCAAUGAGCUAAAAACUGGAGAGGUGUUAGUUGUAGCUUUCUUUCUAACUUGCACGAUCUUUCACAGCCUUCCCUAAAGUUUCAUCAGAAUCUCUCCUAAACUCCUCUGCUAUUUACAGUAAAGUCUGUAUCUCAACUGUGAAAUGGCCACAUUUUGGAGUAUGGUAAAGUUAUUCUUGUCAUGUAUAGACCAGUUGUGCUUUAUCUACGUAGCUCAACUUAGAUACAACACAUCCUUUUCUGCAAAUAGACUGGGAACUGGUCACUGGACCUACAGUUUACCAGAAGAAGCCUAGAAAGAGGGCUUUAAGAGGGAAGGCUUUUCAAUAAUGUACCUGUCAAGGUUAGUUUAUUCAGGUCACAUACUGAGACAUGACAUUUGAUGAUUAAUCUCAAAUAAGAGGAAACAGUGGCUCCUCUGAUUGGGCAACAAACUCAGCCUCACUGGUGAUCUCAAGUCAGUGCUAAUUCAGCAAGAAGACUACCACCUAACAGAGCUCCCAUACAGUACAGAUGCAAUACCUGUUAGAUUCAGGGCUUUUCUAGAUUGAUUUCAUUCUAGUAUGUCGAUAGACAAAAAGCUACAACUAGUAUCUUUUCUUGUUUCCUUUUAUUCUUGAAUAUUUUUGUUUUUUGUUUCGCAUGUGUUCUUUAUCUUCACUGCAAAGCUGCAAACUAAAACUUUCUUAUCAGGUUUUUAUUCAACAUUUGCAAAUCUUUUUGCUUCUUUUUUUUUUUUGUAAUAUAGCACAUCUAUUUCUUUGGCAAAUUUCUUGUAACUUAACUUUCUCUUUUAAUACUCACAUCUAUUCUAUUAUUCUUCUCUUUUUAAUCUGAAUUUAAUAUUAACAUCACAGCAUCCCCCUAAUUUAAAGAAUUGGACUAGAAACGUUGGUGGUCCUCAGCUGGUCCUCAGUUCUAUUAACAUCCGAGUCUUAAUGAGCUAAAAAACUCUCAAUGUAUAAAAGCAACCCCAAUAGUUGUAUUUCAGAUUAUUCUGUCCUUAAGCACUGCAGCUAUGCCACAAGCCUGCAAACCAAUCCAUACAGGUAAACUUUUAGAUCAGCAGUGGCUUGCUGAAGUCACAAGAGCUCUCAAAAUACAUCCAAUUGUAGAAGCAAUUCCAGUUUAGGUCCUAGACAACAUACUUCAUCUAAAACAAAAAAAACUGAUACUAUUUAGUAAUACCCUUUUAAUUAGCAAGGCCCGUUUUCUUAAUGUCAUUCCCACCUUCCCAGUAUACAAACAGGAAUCAUUUCUUGUACAGUUCAAUCUUUAAAUGAACUGUAUCAGAAGUUCAAAGUUACUGUAAUAAUUCUGAUUCCAGCAUGACAGUGUAUCAUCCAAUUCACUAAAAAUGUCUAAUGCUGUACAGGAAAUUUCAGAUUUAAACCAGCUGUAGAAGACUUUUUUUAGAUCCUACAGCAGCCUUACACUGCACAUAAUCUCGCAUUUUCAUCUUGCCCCUGAAACUUGCUUGUGUAUAUAUAUGUAAUCCUUUUUAAGGUUGUGUAUUCUAGCUUAUACUGGUCAAAAAGUAUUUCUGACAUUAUCAUAUUAUUACGCCAAAUAAGCGUGACUUCUGUUCCUAGUCACUACUUGUGCUUCUUAGGGAGUACUGAAACUAAAAUAAGUAAGACUACAAAACAUGCAGUAAGAGCAAUCUUCUGCUGAUGGGAAGAUACUGCUGGCUUCCUCCAUCGUGACUUCCUGCCAUUACAUUCACAUUAUCAUGGUCUGUUUUUCCUGGUCUGUGAUAGUUUUGGGCUAAGGCUGGGCACUUACUGCAAGGUCAUAGUGAUGGGCUGAUUCAGAAGCACUGUUUAUUCUCCGUUUGGAGAAUAUGCUGACAAUCCUGGCCAGCAGAAUUCCCUGGCUAGCCGAUAGCUUCAGCUACCUAGCACAAACACGGACAGAUAAGAAUAUGCUUAACCUAUCUCCCAUGGAAUUCUCAGUGACAACAGUUCUUCAGCCCAGUGCUUUUCAACCUCAUUCACAGACCUCCAGAAUUCUCUAUGAAAGAUAACUAAGAAAAAAGCAUGCUCUGGGGAGCCUGGAAGCUGAGGGUCGCCUGCUGCCAUGGCCUACGUGCUGCUGCAUCACGCCUCAGAUGUGGGGCAGCCGAGGCCACGCUGGGCUGGUGCACCCUUAAGGGAACCCCUCAUGAGCUCUGGGGGUGCGACAGAAGCAGGCCCUGCCAAUCGUCUGUGCACCAUCACGUACACGGACAGUGCUUUAUACCGAUUUCCUGUCAGAGUUCAGUUUCCUACGUUUCCUCGUGUUGCAAAACACGAAGGACAGAGCAGCCAACCGAUCAUAAGGGGAAUCUUGUCAGCGCCCAUUACUGUGACUGAAAGAAGCCCGUGUGCGAGAAUAACUGCUUGGCCCCUUCUCUGAGGCUCUGCUGAGCCCUCGCGUCUCUGGAGGGCUGUGCCUGACGCGGGAGCCGCUCAGCCGGCCGCCAGGUGCGAGCCGCGGCCGCCAGCUCCUUA
ensembl:lncRNA